UCUAACGGAUCCGGUAACUACCGGUGUCCAUCUGCCCGUGCGUUGGUUGGUUGCGAUGCGUGCUGGCCGAAGCGGUAUACUGAUUUUUUAUUGAGUAUUGCCCUGACACAAGCUGCGCUACUGAUACAAUACGUAUCUACUGGUGGCCCUUAGAGCUGCUUCUUCUCCGGCUUGCUCUCUCUCCCAUGAUUUAUCUCCUGUACUGGAUCGAGAUCCACUAAAUAAGCAGCGGCGAGGCGGCGCGGCGAGGCAGUUGGCGAGGCUUCGACGAGGUGGCGAUCAGGGACGGCGUCCUCCAUACAGACUUUGUCGGCCAGAACGGUGGUGCCGUACAAGAGCACCACCUCCUAGCGCAGCUACUCACCGGCGUGUGUUGACUUUGGUCUCCUCCGCUGAUUCCCCUUCGUCGCCGCUGCGUUACGCUCCAGCCCUAGCCGCUGAUUGGAACGCCGGCGUGGCUUCGGCUACCCUUAUGCAUCGAUUGCACGGCUCCCCGGUUAGAUUUCCCGUCGAACUACACCUAAUCCUGGACUCCCAGGUCACCAUGGCGCUCCUGAUUCGGGUCUCCUUCUGCACAACUUCCCCGUGGACGUCCCCCAGCUCAUGGCUGUUGUAUCUUUGUGUGUGGUUGCCGGAUGUGUGUUUGGAGGAGCUCUGUCUCCUCAGAUUUAGGGGAGUUUCUGGCCACUCAUAUUACAAGAAGUCACUGCAUCACCUCCAAUUUUAUUUUUCUUGGUACAUCGUAUCCAAUUUCUGCUACUAGCCUACUACAAUACUGUUGUAGAUUUCCCUUUAUUUUGUUGUUUGAUUUCCUUGCAGUAGAUUCAAUUGUUUUGUCUUAUCCGGUAGCAAUCUUUCAUCCCACAUCCUGUAGUAGUCUGUUUCUGAUUUCUUUGAUAUACACAUUCAGUUGAUCUGCUCCUAAUAGAACAGUGCACUGAAUUUCUGGUGUGGAUCAGCAGGUUAUGAAAUAUUGAUGGCAGGAUUAGUACGCUAGACAAGUGAUGAUAUACUGUUGGCAUCUUCUCUUCCGUAUGCUACUUCCAGAUGACCUUCUAGACGAGAGCCACCGGAGGACGACGAAGCAGCGGCCGCCACCAUGCUCAGAUUCGAGUGCUCACCCUGGGCUACGGCCAGGACGGCCGCGCCGUGCAUGAGCAAGGGAUCGCUCACGAGUUUGGACCUGCAGCGCAGCGCCUCGGCCUCCUCGUCGAGAGCCGCCGGAGGAAGACGAGCCGAGGCGGCCGCCGCCACCUUGUUCAUGUGCGGGCUAGGUUUGGGAUUCGCUUCCCUGAUGUAGGAAUUGUUUUCUCUCAAUUUGAUGAGGAUGCAGAUCUGAAGAUUGAUAUAGGUGUUUGCUAUUUCUUGUCCGAUCUGAAAGUCAGUCGUCUAUCCCGUGUGAUUUCUAAAUCAUCCAAUUCUCUCUAGUUUAAUUUUUCUCCUACUUUUUUUUAUAAUGGCCCAGAUUGAGAAAUUCUUGUUAAAAUCCAUCAAAAAAAUCCAGAUUUGAAGAA